CACUGGUCCUUGAUGUGUAGGAUAGGUGGGAGGCUUUGAAGUGUGGACGCCAGUCUGCAUGGAGCCGUCCUUGAAAUACCACCCUUUAAUGGCUGGUGUUCUAACGUAGACCCGUAAUCCGGGUUGCGGACAGUGUCUGGUGGGUAGUUUGACUGGGGCGGUCUCCUCCCAAAGAGUAACGGAGGAGCACGAAGGUUAGCUAAUCCUGGUCGGACAUCAGGAGGUUAGUGC
rnacentral:rRNA from 1 species